AUUGAACGCUGGCGGCAGGCCUAACACAUGCAAGUCGAGCGGCAGCGGGAAAGUAGCUUGCUACUUUUGCCGGCGAGCGGCGGACGGGUGAGUAAUGCCUGGGAAAUUGCCCAGUCGAGGGGGAUAACAGUUGGAAACGACUGCUAAUACCGCAUACGCCCUACGGGGGAAAGCAGGGGACCUUCGGGCCUUGCGUGAUUGGAUAUGCCCAGGUGGGAUUAGCUAGUUGGUGAGGUAAUGGCUCACCAAGGCGACGAUCCCUAGCUGGUCUGAGAGGAUGAUCAGACACACUGGAACUGAGACACGGUCCAGACUCCUACGGGAGGCAGCAGUGGGGAAUAUUGCACAAUGGGGGAAACCCUGAUGCAGCCAUGCCGCGUGUGUGAAGAAGGCCUUCGGGUUGUAAAGCACUUUCAGCGAGGAGGAAAGGUUGAUGCCUAAUACGUAUCAACUGUGACGUUACUCGCAGAAGAAGCACCGGCUAACUCCGUGCCAGCAGCCGCGGUAACAC
rnacentral:rRNA from 1 species